rnacentral:rRNA from 1 species
GAUGAACGCUGGCGGCGUGCCUAAUACAUGCAAGUCGAGCGAACAGACGAGGAGCUUGCUCCUCUGACGUUAGCGGCGGACGGGUGAGUAACACGUGGAUAACCUACCUCUAAGACUGGGAUAACUUCGGGAAACCGGAGCUAAUACCGGAUAAUAUAUUGAACCGCAUGGUUCAAUAGUGAAAGACGGUUUUGCUGUCACUUAUAGAUGGAUCCGCGCCGCAUUAGCUAGUUGGUAAGGUAACGGCUUACCAAGGCGACGAUGCGUAGCCGACCUGAGAGGGUGAUCGGCCACACUGGAACUGAGACACGGUCCAGACUCCUACGGGAGGCAGCAGUGGGGAAUCUUGGGCAAUGGGCGAAAGCCUGACGGAGCAACGCCGCGUGAGUGAAGAAGGUCUUCGGAUUGUAAAGCCCUUUUGUUAGGGAAGAACAACUGCGGAAGAAAACCCGCACGUUUUGACGGUACCUAAAGAGUAAGCACCGGCUAACUACGUG